CUAGCCGUAAACGAUGUGGACUUGGCGUAGGCGGGUUGAAAUCCAUCUGUGCCGAAGCAAACGCGAUAAGUCCACCACCUGGGGANUACACGAAGAACCUUACCAGGGUUUGACAUGCAAGUGGUAGAGAAGCGAAAGCGGAACGACCCUUCGGGGAGCUUGCACAGGUGU
rnacentral:rRNA from 1 species